rnacentral:rRNA from 1 species
AACGCGAAGAACCUUACCUAGACUUGACACCUCCUGCAUUACUCUUAAUCGAGGAAGUCCCUUCGGGGACAGGAUGACAGGUGGUGCAUGGUUGUCGUCAGCUCGUGCCGUGAGGUGUCGGCUUAAGUGCCACAACGAGCGCAACCCUCGUGAUUAGUUGCUACCAAGUAGAACUCUAAUCAGACUGCCGUAGUUAAUACGGAGGAAGGUGAGGAUGACGUCAAAUCAUCACGUCCCUUACGUCUUGGGCUACACACGUACUACAAUGGGUGUUACAGAGAGAAGCAAAUCCGCGAGGAGGAGCAAAUCUGAAAAAAGCAUCCCUAGUUCGGAUUGUAGGCUGCAACUCGCCUACAUGAAGCUGGAAUUGCUAGUAAUCACAGGUCAGCAUACUGUGGUGAAUACGUUCCCGGGUCUUGUACACACGC